UAGAACUAGAAGGGGAGGAAUUAUAAGAAGCUAGCCUGUGAUGGAGCCAAGGCAUAGUCCAGGGUUCCUGGCAUUCUAGAACACCUGUUAAUUCUAUUGUCAUGCUUCCAUGCCUCUUCUGAUAAGCUCUUACAGGAAUUGUUGGGUGUUUAGCAAUGGUUUCUGUUAAAAGAAGCACUGUUUAACAUUUUCAAGUGAGGGCUGGAAUAGUAUGAAGUUAACAACAUGAUAACUUAAAAAAAAAAAUCAGUGUCUUAGAGUAUUAAUUCAGAAUGAUGAUCUGAUGGAAUAAAGAAAGGGUAAACUAGUACGCGGUGCUCCAUUAGGAGACUAUUUCAGCAGUCUAGAUGGGAGGAUAUAGGGGACUGGGGUAAUGAUUUUAGUAAUAAAGGGAGAGUUGAAUGUAAGAUUUGAUAAGUUUAGAAAUGGAAUCCAUAUGAGGAAGGGAAAUAUCCAAAUAUCUGGAGGAUUUAGGUCUAGAUAAUCAAGAGAGUGGCAGUCUUAGGAAUAGAGAAAUUUUGACUCAGAAGUGCCUUUAUCUGUCUCAGUCUAGACCAGUGGUUUUCAACUGGGGGUGAUUUUGGCUCUCAUAAGCCCAUAUGGCAAUACCUAAAGUCAUUUUUGGUUGUCACAGCUUGGAGGUAGGUGGUGAGACAGAUUCAUUACUGGUAUCUAAAUAGUGGAGGCCAGGGAUGCUGUCAAUGUCCUACAACGCAUAGGACAUCUACCUCCCAACAAAGAAUUACCCAGUCCAAAUGUUAUUAUACCCAGUCCAAAAUGUCUACAGUGCUGAGAUUGAGAAACUCUCCUUGGACUACAGGGAUACAUUGUAAACCAGAGGCCCUCAGGCAAGUCAGAAAAGCUGCAGGCUUAAAUAAUUUUAGAAAACUUGCAAUCUGGCACUUCCUCCAGUCUGACAUAAAGCAAAGGAACUAAUGAUAAGUGGUGGUGUGCCGGAGCUGGCUUGUUCUGACUCCCUUCUCAACUUCAAGGUCAGUGCCCUCAUGUCAGGGUAGCUGGAAGUCAGCCAUGGCAAAUGCUGCAAAUCAAGGGUUUGCAUAUUUACCAGCACCACUGAAUCACAGCAAUGAUAACAACAAGAAACCAACUAUCUACUUCUUCUGCAUAAAUAAUAAUCACUUGAAAUAGAAGGAAUUUGGAGCAUAUCUUACUCCCCCUAAAAGUCUGGCACCAAACUAGCUCUUCCCCUGAGAUAAGGAACUCUAGGCCAGGUUCAUAUAUUCAAAAUCCCCAUUAUAGUGAGUAUCAUCUGUGGACAAAGGUCAUUACAGGUCCACCAGUGGGUUGUUCCAUCUGAAAUGGAGAAACAGAGGCCAAAGCUGGGCAGCAUGUGCUUGCCUCUGCCCAUUCCGCCUGUGCUGUCAGCCCCUUCCACGUGGCUCUGGCACCCCAGAGCACUGCCAAGGCCUGGGUAAAAUGAGGGGGAUGGAAGAUGCUGCUGCUAUCUUGUCCAUCUUCCUUUGAUUUCCAAAUGUUGAAACCCCAACUGAGAAACUUGAAACAGGAGGAAAAUUAAAGUAUCUCUUCACAAAGGCACAAACAGCAGGUAGCAGACAGUUUUAUCCAAGAAACUCUUCUCAGGAACUGAGCCAGAGAAACAUCAAUAAAUGUAGAUCCCAAUUAAAUUCACCCCUGACAGGGACCUUAGCACUCAUCUGAUUCUAUACCCUUGUCCUAUACAUGAGAAGCUGGACACCCAGGGGUGUCCAGUGGGUUGCCCAAGAGGUAUAUGUAGGAUCAAAACAGAGAGACCCCUAGCUCCCUGUCUCCUGUUUUUUCUAUUCUAUGUAGCCACAAGCAUUCUCAGUUUCUUGAUGGAUUCCUACCCCACUCUUACUCCCUGUUAAUGCUUCUGAAAUUGGGAUAUACAUUCCAAUUCUUUUUAAAAUUCUUUUUUUUUUUCUAGAAAACAAUUUAAGAAGCUAUUAUUAACCUGCUGAUGUCCUGGAAUCUAGGCAUCAUGGCUUUAUAAUAGAUAUUUAUGUUUGAAAAAUAUAUACCAGACUUCCUUCUAUUGAAAAUGUCUUGGUACAUUCAAAAUACGGAUUGACUUACUCAAGUUUUUAGGAGCACAUGCCUAUUUGGGGCUGUGUUUCGGGAGCAACUUGUUGCCUGUCAAUCUUUUUUUUCCAUCCUUGCUGCCUUCCUAGAAAUCACUGCCCAAAUUCUUUGCAAAUACCGAGAGGUGACUGCGAGUGAGGAAGCCUCAGAGGAGGCCCUGGGCAAGAGCAAAUGGCAGUAUAGAUGGCUGAGCUGCCUUAGCUCUCAAGACUUUGGAGGGAGGAAUCCGAUCUAUCUCAAUUUCUCAUUGCUCUUGGCCAACCUCUGACUAAAAUAAUAUGACAGUUAAUUUUGUGUGUUGACUUGAUUGGACCACGGGUUGCCCAGAUAUUUGGCUACACAUUAUUUUUGAGUGUGUCUAUGAGGAUGUUUCUGGAUGACACUAGCAUCUGAAUUCAUAGACUGAGUAAAGCAGACUGCCCUUCCCAGUGUGCCUGGCAUCAUCUAAUGUAUUGAGGGCCUGAAAAGAACAAAAUGUGGAAGAAGGGAGAAUUUGUUCUCUAUAACUGAUUGUGGACCUGGGACAUUGGUCUUCUCCUCCCUUGAGUUUGGGAAUUACACCAUUAUCUUCCCUGGUUCUCAGGCCAUCAGAUUCAGACUGAACAACACCACUAACUUGC
rnacentral:lncRNA from 1 species